ACACAAUACAGCUCUUCUUCACCCGAAUAACUCUGAAGAACAACAGUUGAAGUGAUAAAUCCAAAUGCGUAUUCACCAAUGCGGGGAUGCCUUAUAAUAGCCACUUCCUUGAAGGCUUGUGAGUUCUGAUCAGGUGAUAUAGCAGAACUAAUUUGCUUGGACGCAUUAUAAAUAUGGCGAACAAAUGGCAUCCUCUUGAUAA
rnacentral:misc_RNA from 1 species